GUACUAUAGACUGUCUGACGCUGAUGAUAUCCUUUCAGCAAGAAAGGAGACAGCCAUUGGUUAAAAGGUUGAGUGUGUGGUGAUUUUGAGAGCCACUGGCAAAGCCCAACACCCAGGUUUCAAGUUGGUGAGGUAUCCAAUCUUACAGCAUUAAAACCACUUUGCAGUGCCAAUGACAACACUUAGAUACAACACUUAGAUGUCAAGGUAAUGCUGCCUGCUUGAGGAAGAAGAAAAACCAUGAAAGCUUAGAAGUAAGAAUUCCAAAAAAUAGGCCGAAGUCUGCCAGAUGAACAAUCAAAGUGAAGAAUGACCAUCACCUUAUAGACAGCAGAAUGUCAUCAGUGCUAAAAGACAAGAAGAACAACAUGAGACAAUUUAAUCCACUCUUGAAACCUGGAAUUCAGAAUUUUGUUUACUGUGUCUAUAAUUAUUUUCACAUUAUCUGUGUUGAACCAUCUGUCUUUUGGCUGUCUUAAUUGUGAACAUUUGAGUGUGUAUUUGGGAUUUUUGAGGUGGGUAUAGUUUAAAAUAUAUAACAGGAGAACAGAAAUGCCUCAUUUUCCCUGACUU